CUGGCCCCGAGAUUGGGAGGGGGAUGGGCAGCGCUGGAGAAUAACGCCCUGGAGACAGGGCAGCGCAGCCCCAGACUCCCUGGAAAACCCAGCAGUCUGGAAAAGCUGGGUUUGGACUCACCCCUCUUUGAAGAGUUCUCAGGAAGUUUGGGGGAGGGGCGAGCCGCGCACCAGUUCUACCGGCAUCGGGCGCUGAGGGUGAGAAGGGACCACAAGCAGCAGCAGGUCUCAGUGGUUGUCAUAUUCCUGCUCACCGGUGGGCUCCGGGCACGCCCGGCAGGGUCCUGGGGGCGCAGGCAAGGGGACGUAGGCAGAGUGCUCGGGCCAGCAUGGAGGGACUGGUCUUCUUUAACGCCCUGGCCACUCGGCUGCUGUUCCUGCUGCACUCGCUGGUCGGGGUCUGGCGAGUGACCGAGGUGAAGAAGGAGCCGCGGUACUGGCUGCUUGCGCUGCUCAACCUCUUGCUCUUCCUGGAGACUGCGCUCACUCUCAAGUUCAAGCGCGGCAGAGGCUACAAAUGGUUUUCACCAGCCAUAUUUUUAUAUUUGAUUAGCAUCGUUCCUUCAUUAUGGCUUCUUGAAUUGCACCAUGAGACCCAGUAUUGCAGUAUCCAGGCUGAAGGAACAUCACAGAAUACCAGCAGAAAAGAAGACUUCAAUCAAACAUUGACUUCCAAUGAACAAACCAGUAGAGCUGAUGAUCUCAUUG
rnacentral:lncRNA from 1 species